rnacentral:rRNA from 1 species
AGAGUUUGAUCAUGGCUCAGAACGAACGUUGGCGGCGUGGAUUAGGCAUGCAAGUCGAACGAAUCCCAGUGGGGGUAACUCUGCUGGGGGAAGUGGCGAAAGGGGCAGUAAUGCGUGGACAACCUGCCCUCGAGACGGGGAUAGCCAUUCUAACGAAUGGGUAAUACCCGGAGACCCGGUAGGGGGGCAUCCCCCAGCCGGCAAAUGAGUUUCGCUCGAGGAGGGGUUCACGUGCUAUUAGCUUGUUGGCGGGGUAAUGGCCCACCAAGGCUAAGAUGGCUAGCAGGUGUGAGAGCACGACCUGCGCCACUGGCACUGAGACACUGGCCAGACUCCUACGGGAGGCUGCAGUCGAGGAUCUUCGGCAAUGGGCGCAAGCCUGACCGAGCGACGCCGCGUGUGUGAUGAAGGCCUUCGGGUUGUAAAGCACUGUCGAGGGGGAGGAAAGCCCGCAAGGGUUUGACCUAUCCCUGGAGGAAGCACGGGCUAAGUUCGUGCCAGCAGCCGCGGUAAGACGAACCGUGCAAACGUUGUUCGGAAUCACUGGGCUUAAAGGGCGCGUAGGCGGGUUCUCAAGUCGGGGGUGAAAACUUGCGGCUCAACCGUAAGAGUGCCUUCGAUACUGGGAGUCUUGAGGGAGGUAGGGGUCGAUGGAACUGGUGGUGGAGCGGUGAAAUGCGUAGAUAUCACUAGGAACGCCGGUGGCGAAAGCGAUCGACUGGACCUCUUCUGACGCUGAGGCGCGAAAGCCAGGGGAGCGAACGGGAUUAGAUACCCCGGUAGUCCUGGCCCUAAACGAU